rnacentral:misc_RNA from 1 species
GAUGAAGAACGUAGCGAAAUGCGAUAAGUAGUGUGAAUUGCAGAAUUCAGUGAAUCAUCGAAUCUUUGAACGCACAUUGCGCCCCUUGGUAUUCCGGGGGGCAUGCCUGUUCGAGCGUCAUUUCAACCCUCAAGCUCUGCUUGGUAUUGGGCACCGUCCUUUGCGGGCGCGCCUCAAAGACCUCGGCGGUGGCGUCUUGCCUCAAGCGUAGUAGAAUACACCUCGCUUCGGAGCGUAAGGCGUCGCCCGCCGGACGAACCUUCUGAACUUUUCUCAAGGUUGACCUCGGAUCAGGUAGGGAUACCCGCUGAACUUAAGCAUAUCAAUAAGCGGAGGA